AAGGUACCUUUUGAGGAAAGUCCGGGCACCACAGGGCAGGAUGCCGGCUAACGGCCGGUGAGGGCGACCUUAAGGAUAGUGCCACAGAAAUAAACCGCCAUCAAAACAUUUAACAAUGAUAGAGCUGUCAUUUUUAAAUGUUUCGAUGGUAAGGGUGGAACGGUGCGGUAAGAGCGCACCGGCGGUUUGGCAACAAACCGGCCAGGUAAACCCCAUCUGGUGCAAGACCGAAUAGGAAAGCGUGGGAGUGGCCCGCUCUGCUUUCGGGUAGGGUUGCGCGAGCCCUUUGGCAACGAAGGGCCAAGAUAGAUGAUGAUCAAAACAGAACCCGGCUUAUAGAUUUGCUCU
rnacentral:RNase_P_RNA from 1 species